GCUGGCGUAGCUCAGUAGGUAGAGCAGCUGAUUUGUAAUCAGCAGGGUUUGGCGCGAGCG
rnacentral:tRNA from 1 species